CCCAGGUUCAAGUGAUUAUCAUGCCUCAGCCUGGUACUAUAGGUGUGCACCAGCACGCCCAGCUGAUUUUUUGUAUUUUUAGUAGAGACACGGUUUCACCAUGUUGGCCAGGCUGGUCUCGAACUCAUGAUCUCUGGUGAUCUGCCUGCCUUGGCCUCCCAAAGUGCUGGGAUUACAGGCGUGAGCCACCAUGCCCAGCCCAUCUGAUACCCUUUAGAAAUGGACACACGAGUCAGAAGGUGUUAUUGGAUUCUCCUUGUUAACUUAUUGCACAACUUGGGGCCUUGUGAUUGAAUGGGUGUUGAAUUUGGAUACACAGGAUUGAGUCAUCAAGGGACCAUCAGAGGAAGAGCCUAGUAACCACUUUCUUUUCCCUCUGUCUAUCAUUGUCCUCCCAGGUAUGAGUGAAAUCAUUCAUUUUUCACUGAACGCUUACUUCAUGCUGGGACCUAAGCAACAACUGUGGCGACAAUGGACUUAUUGGUAAUUUACUAUGUGCAGACACUCUCCUCACUUUUUGACAGAGAACGUUGAUUAGAUGACCAAAAGUGCCCGGCCCUUUGCCAAGUGUGAUAGAAAACAGGGAGAAGGUAUCAUCAUCGUUUCACAGAUGCCUACAUUCCAAAGGAUCUCAUCAGAGCAUAAGAGCUCUUCCAGCUGUUGUUUAUCCAUGAAUUAUUAUUGCAAUGCUUAACCGGAGAUAGAAACUCACCAUGAGCGUAUCAACCUUUCCUCUUCAGAAGUUUCACUUCAGUUUGAAAGAAAACGCAACUGGUGAAACAAUUGCUGUGUGUCAUAAAUUAUAGGUAUCUGACAUUCAUUACAAGGAAAGCAACAGUCAAAUAUCAUGGGACUCAUAUUUAUUUAUGUCUAUAUUAUCUGUAGAUAUUAUAGAUAAUAUAUAUGUAUACUUUGACAGAGAAGGAAGAACACCACUCUGGAGUGUUUAAUCUACCAUAGUUUGAUACUGUCUUUCUUGUUUGUGCCAAUUUGAAUUACUUGGUUCUGUUUUUUGGUUAUCUGCAAUUAGUGUGCUAUUUAUUUCCAGAAUAGAGGAAACUGAAGCUUACUCUGUGUACACAAAAGAAUACUGUACCCAUUCAGUCAUGUACAAAUAGAGUUAUCUCAUGGAAAAUUCAUUUUUUUUCUUGUUUUGGUACUUUUCCUGAAGUUUUAGAAUAUGUUCUACUUUUGUCUGUGACACAAAUUUUGGAUCUUUUGAUACUGUGGAGGACACACUGCAGUUGAGCCUGCAAACUGAUAACUGUCUUUUUGGUGGCACCCUGUCUUGGUCAUUACUGACAUCAAAGCACAUUCUUCCUCCAUCCUGAUAGGUACAUAACAUAUGGGGUGCAGCUUGCAGUGUGUAAAAUAUACCAUGCAGAUAUGGACAUAAAAAUAGACACAUUAAUCAUGGAACAGGAUAGAGAACCUAGAAACAAACCUGUGCAUUUAUGGUCGAUUGAUUCUCAACAAAGAUGCCAAAAACAUACAAUAAAAAAGGACAGUUUGUCUGAUAAGUGGUAUUGGAAAACUAGAUAUCCACAAGCAGAAAAAUGAAAUUGGAGUCUUAUCUAACACCAUAUGCAAAUAUCAACACAAAACAAAUUAAACACUUAAAUGUAAGACAUGAACUGUGAAACUACUAAAAGAAAACAAAGAGGAUAUACUUUACUACAUUCAUCUGAGCAAAGAUUUCUUAGAUAGGAUCACAAAACCAUAGUCAACAAAGAAAAAUAAACAAAUCAGAUUGCAUCAAACUAAACAGCUUCUGCACAGCAAAGGAAACAAUAGAGCUAAGAGAUAGUUCGUGGAGUGGGAGAAAAUAUUUGCAAACCAUAUAAGUGGCUAAUACCCAAAACAUAUAAGGAACUCAAUGCAAUAGCAAGAAAACAAAUAAUCCAAUAAAAAUUGGGCAAAGGACCUCAAUAGACACUUAUCAAAAGAAGACAUACGUGGCUGCCAGAUAUAUUAAAAAAUGUUCAUCAUCACUAUCAUCAAGAAAAUGCAAAUUAAUACCACAAUGAGAUAUCACCCCACACCUGUUAGAAUGGCUAUCAUCAAAAAGACAAAAGAUAAAUGUUGGCGAGGGAGUGCCGACAAGGGAACCCUUAUGCAAUGUUGGUGGAAAUGUCAAUUAAUACAGCCGUUAUGGAAAACGGUAUGGAGACUCCUCAGAAAACUAAAAAUGUAUCUACCAUAUGAUCCUUCAAUCCCACUGGCAGUAUAUAGUCAAAGGAAUUGAAAUCCGUAUUCCAAAGAUACCUGCACUCUCAUGUUCAUUGAAGCAUUAUUCAUAAUGGGUAAGAUAUGGAAGCACUCUGUGUCCAUCAAGGAAUGAAUGGAUCAGGAAAAUGUGGUAUAUAUGCACAAUGAAAUACUAUUCAGCCUUAAAAAAAGGGAAAAUCCCUGUGAUCCCAGCACCUUGGGAGGCCGAGGAGGCGGAUCAUGAGGUCAGGAGAUCAAGACCACCCUGGCUAACACGGUGAAACCCUGUCUCUACUAAAAAUACAAAAAAUUAGGCGGGCGUGGUGGUGGGCGCCUGGAGUCCCAGCUACUAGGGAGGCUGAGGGAGGAGAAUGGCGUGAACCUGGGAAGGUGGAGCUUGCAGUGAGCAGAGAUCGGGCCACUGCACUCCAGGCUGGGGGACAGAGCGAGACUCUGUCUCAAAAAAAAAAAAAAAAACCACGGAAAAUCCUCUCAUUUUUAACAACAUGGAUAAACCUGGAGGACAUUAUGCUAAGUGAAAUAAGCCAGGCACAGAAAGGCAAAUACUGCAUCAUCUCACACGUAUGAGGAAUCUAAAAACGUUGAAAUUGUAGAAGUAGAGAGUAGAAUGAUGUUACUAGAAGCUGGGGAAAGGGAGUGGUUGGAAAAAAGGGAGUUGUUGAUCAGAGGGUACAAAGUUUCAGUUAGACAGGAGGAAUAAGCUUUAGAGAUCUAUCACAUAGAAUUGAGACUAUAAUAAUCAUAGAGUUGUUAAAGGCAUACAUUUUGAAUGUUUCAACACACACAAAAAUGACAAGUAUGUGAAGUGAUGGAUUUGUUAACUAGCCUGAUUGUAAACAUAUAUCAAAACAUCACAUUGUACCUCAUAAAUAUAUACAGUUAGUAUUUGUCCACAAAAAUAAAAUUCAAAAAAAUAACCAAAAAAAAAAAAAAAUACCAGGCUAGUCAUUUGUUCAUCUUACCAUUAAACUGGUGGGUUUUUUUGAAAAUAGGUAUUUUCUGAGGAAUCAAAUCAAAUAGAAUUUGAAACAUUAAUGAAAUAAUUUAAAAUAAUUCUUUAGGAAAAAUUAAGUUUUUCAGAAAAGCGCAUUGUUGCUUAAUUUUGUGAAGUUGAUUCACUGCCUUUGGUUUUGAGUUUUGUAUUUUACAGAGCAUAACAAGGAAGUCAGUAUUCCCUUUGUGUGUUCUUAAAAUCUUUUAGAAACUGAAUAUUAUUGUUUCAUAAAUGUAUUUUGAAUCUAGUCAUUUCAAAUGCUGUGAGGUAUAGAUAAUAAACCCCUGGUUUCUGACAUUCUCUUCUAUAUAAUUGAGUUGUUUGAGCAACUAUUUCUCAUGUUUGCUUUACACAUUUGUGACUUCUUUAUCGAUUUCAUUUUUUUCAACAUUUUGGUACACCAGACUUUAUUACCUGAGAAUAAGUUGAAUUUUUCCCAUAUUUGCUAGAGUGAAAUAAGAGUAAAUUGCUGCAAUAUUCCCAUUUCAAUAUGAGUAUGUCCUUAUGGUUUUUUCAGUAUGUUUAAAUAUUUCCUUAAACAUUUUAACCAGAGCUCUCUUUGGAGCAUCCUUGACAUACUGAUAUGUAAGAAUCAUUUUUCUUUUCAAGUUAUACAUAACAGUUUAAUGAACAUAUAUAUGUAAAAUUAACAUUUUUCUUCAAAAGCAAAAUUAGUAAGAGUGCACAUGAGCAGAAAUGAGAAGGAAAGGAGAAAGAUACAAUAAUUCCACUUUAAAUUAUUUUCCGAUAUUAUUGGAACUUGUUAAAAAUGUAAAGCUGGAUAAUUUGGCCUAUUAUGUGCCACAGUCUGUGAAUUGCUAUGAAAGCUGGCAUUUAGUCCCUGAUUACAUACAGGGAUAAAGGGCUAUGCUACCAUGGUCCUACAUAGACUACAAGGACUACCAUGGGCCACAGAACAUUGAAGGAAAAAUAGGUGAAGAGAGGCAGUGACGAGAUAAGUUCCCUACCUUGCACCCUCUGAGUUCUCUUUGGACUUGUGGAAGAGAACAGCUCAUACACAUGCUGUGUGUAAAUAACAAAAACAUAAAACUGAAGCAAGGUCCUUGUAAGAAACCGUUUUUGUGUGUCAUCAUUUUUCUGCUUUGCACAGGCCAACAUUUAUAAUGAGUAUAUUUCUGGGUAAAGCAAGCAUGAAGAAAGACUACAAUACAAAUUCCAUAAAAGGCUAUAGAGUGUAUGAAAUUCAUGACCAAUACUGACUACACAAAAAUCUUAAUUUUGCACCCAGAUAAUUCUUAGCAUUUUAACUAAAUACAGCUUAGCUCACACUAAGUGAUUCUGCAUGUCCUAGUUAAAAUUAGGAACAACAUGAAAACUAGUUAAGUGGGUUCCUACAAAACAGUGUAAAGAGAAAGUCCUCUCACUGACAAGCAAUUAAUUUAUAAGCACAAAACCCAUAUUUGUACUAUCAAAAUUACAAAUGAUAUUCAACAAUCAUUUUUUGCUGGGUGAAGUUUCAAUCACUAGCUAACUUCAAAAUUUUAGUUUAAAGAAGGAGAAAGAGUUGUUUGGUCUAAAGAGGAGAGAGAUUGUUUUAUCAAAAGCCCAAGUCAUGCCUGUGAAUAAAAUGA
rnacentral:lncRNA from 1 species